UAUUAUUAUUACUAUCUUCUUAACGCAGGAGAUCCAUAUGGAACGCUGUGUUAAUCUGACAGAUGUUGCUGUGGAAGCAGUCCUCACUUGUUGUCCAAAGAUACACAUUGUUCUGUUCCAUGGAUGCCCGUUGAUAACAGACCGUUCACGAGAUGUUUUAGAGCAGCUCAUCAUCUCAAACAAAAUCAAGCAAGUGACAUGGACCGUUUACUGACUAUUUUUUUGUCUGUUUAUGUAUGAGUGUAAAGUUUACAGUUAGGAGAGCUAAAGGAAACAAGCACCUCUAAUAAACAGCUGGUGACUUCUGUACCUGCAGAUUGCUUCUCUGCUUCUUCCCACCAGAGGUCUCCAUUGCCAUUCCAGUCUUUGAGUGCGAGUCUGAGCUUCCCUAGUGACUGCUUAAGAGCCCUUUCUGUCUUUGAAGCACUGAUAAUGAUUCGUUAAAAGGAAAGUUAAAUUACAGUCAGCAUUACACUGUCACCUCUCAGCCUCCUUGAACAAUCAGAUUUGGCCGUAGUUAAGCAUGUUUUAGCAUCUUAGCUACCUACACAGACCUGGUCUUACCAAGUCCCUGCUCUGAGUUUUUAAUCUGAGAGGAUAAUUGUAGCUAGUUUGUUAGAAAACAGUUAGAAAAACUGUACGUACCUUUCUUUUGAUGUUAUUGAUGUUACAGGUUUCUGACUUUAUUUACCAUCAGUAUUUACAGGAGUCUUACACAUCCAAAAGUACAGUAUGAAACAUGCAAACACAGAAGAUCUUUGGAAUUAUUGUAGUGUUUAACAAAUCUCAGAAUAGUGCUGAUGACUGAUGAAAUAAUCUUAUAUGAUACUCAUUUGCUCUGGCUUUUUCCUAUUGCAAAAUCAUUGGGGAGAACAAAGCAUUGGUCUCUGUAAGCAUAGCUGAGAGUGAAGACCAUGUUUAGCAUUGGAGUACAUGAAUCUCAAGAGAGUAGAGUUCUACAGAGUUUGUGUUCUGAUUUAUAUGGUUUAUUACAUCUCCAGGGACCUCUAGAAGAUGAAAAUGUCUGUUUAUAUAUUGUUUGACUGUAGUCAUUUAAAAAAAUUGUAAGUAUAGAAUUGAUUGUGACAGAACUGUGGUUUCAUCAUAAUUACAAGUCAUGCUCACUGGCUUUGCUGAAACAGUAGAACUUACAGUGAGACCUGUAUGAUUUCUGCAUUAAACUUCUAAAAAUGUUAGUCACUUCAGCAGCGCACAGAGCAGACAGCACACUGUGUUGAUACUCCAUGUUUGGAAGUAGCAGGAUUUAGCUGGGCAGAUCUUACACGGAUCUGAUGACUUUCAAAAAUGAGUGAGUUUAAACAAUAAGGAGUGUUUAUUUUGUAAUUUAAUGCUUGUUAUAGCUAAUGCUAAUUUUGAAUGUUGUAGAAAGAAGAGUCUUCUACUGACCUAUUUAAAGUACAGCUCAAAUGGCAUGGAAGAUAGUGCAUCCAGUAUUGUUAAAGGAUAUUACAGUAUCUGACAAUGA